AUACGGAGGAUGCGAGCGUUAUCCGGAUUUAUUGGGUUUAAAGGGUGCGUAGGCGGCCAUUUAAGUCAGCCGCUAAAUCGUGGGGCUCAACCCCAUUCUGCCGUUGAUACUGGGUGGCUUGAUUGCGGUCGAGGUUGGCGGAAUUCGUUGUGUAGCGGUGAAAUGCAUAGAUAUUACACAGAACGCCGAUUGUGAAGACACCGCGCGAAGCGGUAACUGACGCUGAGGCACGAAAGCGUGGGGAUCGAACAGGAUUAGAUACCCUGGUAGUCCAGGAAGUAAGCGAUGAUGACUAACCGUCGGGGAUAGACCGCCGGUGGCCAAGCGAAAGCGAUAAGUCAUCCACCUGGGGAGUACGACCGCAAGGUUGAAACUCAAAGGAAUUGGCGGGG
rnacentral:rRNA from 1 species